rnacentral:rRNA from 1 species
GCUUACGGCCACACCACCCUGAGCACGCCCGCUCUCGUUUGAUCUCGGAAGCCAAGCAGGUUCGGGCCUGGUUAGUACUUGGAUGGGAGACCGCCUGGGAAUACCAGGUGCUGUAAGCAU